UGUCAACAAAGUGCUAACAAACAUGCUAAUAAAAACCACCCUGUCAAAGCUUCACCAACAUCACAAUUCAUCGAAAUAUUUGAGAGUUUGCACGCUUGUUUUAGUGUGGUGUAUAUUUUCCUGGUGAUAAAAGAGUGCAGGAUUUGACACAGAUUCAUUAAUUAGUGUGAACGAAUCCAUUUCCGAAAAGUUCCAACCCAGCUCACCGACAAAGCCGAGUUUGAAGAUGAAAUCAGCUGCGUUUAUCGCACUGACCGCUGCCAGUUGCUUGGCCACUGCAGCUUUCGCCUCGUCAUCGAUGAAGGUCGAGGAUCACACAGCAAUGGGGGACUGGGACACUCUCUACCCAAGAUACCCAGCCUGCCGUAGAGGGCGCGAGUUUGCUAUCGUGGUACCCGAAACUGAGCGCGUGACUGGACAGAUGUACUAUGAACGUGUGAAGUCAGAUGGGAAGGUCAAGUAUUACUUCUGUGCAUCCUGCUCUGUCUGCGCAAACUAUGGUUUGGCAACAGCCUCGCCGUGUGCCGAACGUACAAACACAGAAUGUUCUCU